GCUGAAAGCAUCUAAGCAUGAAGCCCCCCUCAAGAUGAGAUUUCCCAUAGCGUAAGCUAGUAAGAUCCCUGAAAGAUGAUCAGGUUGAUAGGUUCGAGGUGGAAGCAUGGUGACAUGUGGAGCUGACGAAUACUAAUAGAUCGAGGACUUAACCAU
rnacentral:rRNA from 1 species